rnacentral:rRNA from 1 species
AACGAACGCUGGCGGCAUGCCUAACACAUGCAAGUCGAACGAUGCUUUCGGGCAUAGUGGCGCACGGGUGCGUAACGCGUGGGAAUCUGCCCUUGGGUUCGGAAUAACAGUGAGAAAUUGCUGCUAAUGCCGGAUGAUGUCUUCGGACCAAAGAUUUAUCGCCCAGGGAUGAGCCCGCGUAGGAUUAGCUAGUUGGUGGGGUAAUGGCCUACCAAGGCGACGAUCCUUAGCUGGUCUGAGAGGAUGAUCAGCCACACUGGGACUGAGACACGGCCCAGACUCCUACGGGAGGCAGCAGUGGGGAAUAUUGGACAAUGGGCGCAAGCCUGAUCCAGCAAUGCCGCGUGAGUGAUGAAGGCCUUAGGGUUGUAAAGCUCUUUUACCCGGGAUGAUAAUGACAGUACCGGGAGAAUAAGCUCCGGCUAACUCCGUG